rnacentral:rRNA from 1 species
AAAGUUCCCUUCGGGGAGCAAGUAGAGUGGCGCACGGGUGAGUAACACGUAGGUAAUCUACCUUCGGAUGGGGAAUAACAACCGGAAACGGUUGCUAAUACCGCAUAAUGCAGCGGCACCUAAUGGUGACAGUUGUUAAAGCGGGGGAUCGCAAGACCUCGCGUCUGAAGAGGAGCCUGCGGCAGAUUAGCUAGUUGGUAAGGUAACGGCUUACCAAGGCGAUGAUCUGUAGCCGGCCUGAGAGGGCGGUCGGCCACACUGACACUGACAUACGGGUCAGACUCCUACGGGAGGCAGCAGUCGGGAAUUUUGGGCAAUGGGCGAAAGCCUGACCCAGCAACGCCGCGUGAAGGAUGAAAUCCCUCGGGAUGUAAACUUCGCAAGAACAGGAAGAAUAAGUGAGAGUUAAUAUCUCUUACGAUGACGGUACUGUUUGUAAGCUCCGGCUAACUCCGUGCCAGCAGCCGCGGUAAUACGGGGGGAGCAAGCGUUGUUCGGAUUUACUGGGCGUAAAGGGCGCGUAGGCGGCCACCGCAAGUCGACUGUGAAAUCUCCGGGCUUAACUCGGAAAGGUCAGCCGAUACUGCGGGGCUAGAGUGCAGAAGGGGCAACUGGAAUUCUCGGUGUAGCGGUGAAAUGCGUAGAUAUCGAGAGGAACACCUGCGGCGAAGGCGGGUUGCUGGGCUGACACUGACGCUGAUGUGCGAAAGCUAGGGGAGCGAACGGGAUUAGAUACCCCGGUAGUCUUAGCCUUAAACGAUGAAUGCUUGGUGUCUGGGGUUUUAUAGU